UUUCUUCCCCCCCCCAGCCAAUCAGCCGAUCCAAAAUCAGCCAAUUUCACCCUGUUUCGCGAGUCGAACAAUAUGUUAUCCGGCUUAAUAUCCCUAUGAACGAUAUUGAAUCUAUGACAAUGGGCAAUCGCAUUUAACAACUGUUUCAUAAUGGAAGCUGAUUUGCCCUCGCAGAAUCCGCCAUUACUCUUGAUAAUCCGAUCAUAGAGAGUGUAGUGCUCGCAGAGCUCCAUGACCAUGGUGAGGGAUUCAUCGGUAUCAUAGACGUCGUGGAUCUGAACAAUGUUUGGAUGCGGAGACAAGAUUGUCAUGAUCUUGGCCUCGUUCUGGAGACACUCGCGGUCAGUGGGAUCGGUGAGGAGGUUCUUGUCGAUGGUUUUACAGGCGAAGAAGUCGUUCUUGAUGGGUGAGAAGCAGCGGGAGAUGGUGCCAAAUCGGCCUCGGCCAACCUCCUCGCAGAGGUGAUAGUUGUUCUUCAAGUUAUCGCACAUUUCCGGUGAUCGUAGGGUUUUGUGGGUUUGGUUU
rnacentral:misc_RNA from 1 species